GACGAGGGAUCCUAGCGUUGUUCGGAAUCAUUGGGCGUAAAGCGGGUGCAGGUGGCUUUGUAAGUCAGGUGUGAAAGCCCAGGGCUCAACCCUGGAAGUGCAUUUGAAACUGCAAAGCUUGAAUGCUAGAGAAGUCACUAGAAUUCCUGGUGUAGUGGUAAAAUACGUAGAUAUCAGGAGGAACAUCGGAGGCGAAGGCGGGUGACUAGCUAGACAUUGACACUCAGACCCGAAAGCGUGGGGAUCAAACAGG
rnacentral:rRNA from 1 species